CGCCGCGCGAGCCGAGGCGCGGGCCCGGCUGCCCCCUCUCUUUAGCUUGAGGCUGCGCAAAGGGCCGCUGUUUCACCUGCUUAUUUUAAGCUUUCCUGGAAACGUACAGCUCCACAAUCCCCUAAGAGAGCAAUUAACUCUGUUCCACAACGCACCCACCCGGGCAGGGCGUCGGGACCAAGCUGCAGCCCUGCACUCAGGGGUGACCACAAACCAGCAUGGCCCACGCCACCCCUCCAGCUGCAUAUGAACAGGCAGUGCCUUCCAGCAGCAUUGCUUCUACAGCCCAGUAUUCUCAAAAAGAGCAAGAACUCCCCUGACACUCCCUUGACCGCUUCUGCUCCCCAGCCUCUCCAAGGAACUGGGGUUUUACUGAAAGACCAGCUGAAUUCAAAGGAUUGGGAGGGCUUUAGAUACACGUAAGAAAUCACAGGGACAUCAUGAGGUCAAGCUCAAAAUUGCUCUUGCUUUACAACUCCAGGCCCAUGGAAAGAGACGUGGAGACGGAGGUGACAGGCUCACAGAGGGAGCAGUAAAGUGCAGACAGCCUCCUUAUCAGUCCCUCUAGGAUCUCAAGAUGACUGGAGGGGAAUAAAACAGAGGCAUUUUAAGGAGCAUUUUAACAUCAUCAAACUUUCUUGAUAGGACAUAGUGCAAAUAGGAGAAAUAUUGGUCAUGCUUUAUAAAAGACAGUCUAACCUUCUAGGCUGCUUGGUGUGGGAGAAGAAAAACAUGAGGACAGCAGAGCCAAACUCUAAGUCUCUGUGUCCCAGGCAUUCCAAGCAAGCUACUCAUCCAUUGUGGAGGAGAGUCCCUUGUAGUGUACUCUGGGAUAUUAUAAAUUAUCUGACCUAUACAGUAACUAAAAAAAAAAAAAAUCAUCUUUCCUCACUCAAACUGCACAAUUGCCCUAACUCAAAUGCAGGAAAAAUACCAGGAAGUUUGCCUGGAGUACCAU